GGGAAUCUACCUCUUGCUACGGGAUAGCUCCGGGAAACUGGAAUUAAUACCGUAUGUGCCCUUCGGGGGAAAGAUUUAUCGGCAAGGGAUGAGCCCGCGUUGGAUUAGCUAGUUGGUGGGGUAAAGGCCUACCAAGGCGACGAUCCAUAGCUGGUCUGAGAGGAUGAUCAGCCACAUUGGGACUGAGACACGGCCCAAACUCCUACGGGAGGCAGCAGUGGGGAAUAUUGGACAAUGGGCGCAAGCCUGAUCCAGCCAUGCCGCGUGAGUGAUGAAGGUCUUAGGAUUGUAAAGCUCUUUCACCGGGGACGAUAAUGACGGUACCCGGAGAAGAAGCCCCGGCUAACUUCGUGCCAGCAGCCGCGGUAAUACGAAGGGGGCUAGCGUUGUUCGGAAUUACUGGGCGUAAAGCGCACGUAGGCGGAUAUUUAAGUCAGGGGUGAAAUCCCGGGGCUCAACCCCGGAACUGCCUUUGAUACUGGGUAUCUUGAGUGUGGUAGAGGUGAGUGGAAUUGCGAGU
rnacentral:rRNA from 1 species